CCUACGGGAGGCAGCAGUGAGGAAUAGUGGUCAAUGGGCGGAAGCCUGAACCAGCCAAGUAGCGUGCAGGAUGACGGCCCUACGGGUUGUAAACUGCGGUUAUACGGGAAUAACGCGCCGUACGUGGAGGGCUUUGCAUGUACCGUAUGAAUAAGGACCGGCUAAUUCCGUGCCAGCAGCCGCGGUAAUACGGAAGGUCCGGGCGUUAUCCGGAUUUAUUGGGGGUAAAGGGAGAGUAGGCCUCAUGUCAAGCGUGCUGUGAAAUGUCCGGGCUCAACCCGGGCCUUGCCGCGCGAACUGGCGUGCUUGAGUCCGCGGCUAGCAGGCGUCAUUCGUCGUGUAGCUGU
rnacentral:rRNA from 1 species